rnacentral:misc_RNA from 1 species
AGCAGCCGCGGUAAUUCCAGCUCCAAUAGCGUAUAUUAAAGUUGUUGCAGUUAAAAGCUCGUAGUUGAAUUUCGGGAUUGGCGCAUCGGUCGUGCCUCACGGGGUAUGAACUGGUGCAGUCAAUUUCUCACCUUCUGGAGAACCGCGAUGUCCUUAAUUGGAUGCCGCGGGGAACCAGGACCUUUACUUUGAAAAAAUUAGAGUGUUUAAAGCAGGCAUUUUUGCUUGAAUACAUUAGCAUGGAAUAAUAAAAUAGGACGGCAUGGUUCUAUUUUGUUGGUUUCUAGGACCACCGUAAUGAUUAAUAGGGAUAGUUGGGGGCAUUAGUAUUCAAUUGUCAGAGGUGAAAUUCUUGGAUUUAUUGAAGACUAACUACUGCGAAAGCAUUUGCCAAGGAUGUUUUCAUUAAUCAAGAACGAAAGUUAGGGAUCGAAGACGAUCAGAUACCGUCGUAGUCUUAACCAUAAACUAUGCCGACUAGGAAUCAGACGAUGUUAAUUUUUUAAUGUACUUCGUUUGG